GACAGAGGAUGCAAGCGUUACGUCCGGAAUGAUUGGGCGUAAAGCGUCUGUAGGUGGCUUUUUAAGUCCGCCGUCAAAUCCCAGGGCUCAACCCUGGACAGGCGGUGGAAACUACCAAGCUGGAGUACGGUAGGGGCAGAGGGAAUUUCCGGUGGAGCGGUGAAAUGCGUAGAUAUUGGAAAGACCACCAAUGGCGAGGACAC
rnacentral:rRNA from 1 species